ACAAACACACCGCUACAAUCAUACAAACAUACUCCAUACAAACACAUGCUUACAGUCAAACACACAAAUACUGCUCCAUGCUAAAUACAAUCCUGCAAGCAUGGGGAAUCGGUAGAGCCCCAGCUUUCAAAGCAUUGUUGAAGUUGCACAACAGAUGGGGAUCUAUCUUUUAGCCAUCCUGUGUACAUACACAGACCGUCAUACAGAGACAUACAGUAUGUAUGUCUCUGUAUGACUGUGUAAAUGUAUUCAAAAGGAAUAAACGCAGGCAAC